rnacentral:lncRNA from 1 species
GAAGGGACAUGCGGAAAGCUCAAUGUUUCAACUGUAAAGACUAUGAGCAUAUUGCUAUUCAUUGUACCAAGAAGUCAUGCAAUUACUGCAAGAAGUCGGGACACAUUAUAAAAAACUGUCCUGUUCGACGUCAGGAUCGCUAAGCCAAUGCAUAUUAGGUUUCUGUCAAUCCACUAGCUCCUGAGGUAUCUUCUGUUGCUGCGCAACCCAUUCUUACUCCUAAAAUGGUGUUGUUGCGCAACCCAUUCUUACUCCUGAAAUGGUGCAACAAAUGAUUGCAUCAGCUUUUUCUGCUUUAGGACUUCAAGGUAAACAUAAUACUUCACCUCAAUCUUGGCUAGUUGAUUCAGGUGCCUCAAAUCAUAUGACUAGUUCCUCCGAUGGUCUUUGUGAUAUUCGCCCAUAUCAAGGUUCAUCUCAUAUUCAAAUAGCUAAUGGGAGUCAUUUAACUAUUGAUGUUGUUGGUAACAUUAAUUCUACUUUUCGAGACAUUUUUAUAUCUCCUGGUUUAUCUACAAAUCUUAUUUCAGUUGGUCAAUCAGUUGAUAACUAUGAUGUCCAUUUCUCUUGUGAUGGUGUUCUUGUGCAGGAUCAAGUGUCGGGAAAGAUACUCAUGAAGGGGCCUAAAAUUGGACGAUUGUUUUCAUUACAUUUUUCUAUUCCUAGUUGUUUAUCUUUGGCCUGUAUAACCGUUAACAAUAAAAGUGAUGUUUGGUACAAACGUUUGGGCCAUCCAAACUCCAUUAUCCUAUCUUAUUUGUUAAAUUCUGGUUUGUUGGGGAAUAAAACCAAUCCUUCUCAUAAUUUGUGCUUUGAUUGUUCUACAUGCAAAUCGGGAAAGAGUAAUAUUCUUCCUUUUCUUUCUCACAGUGGUCAUGCCAAAAAAAGCUUUGAUAUUGUGCAUAGUAAUAUUUGGGGCAUUUUGCCUGUCACCUCUCAUGCCCAGUAUAAAUAUUUCGUGACUUUUAUUGAUGAUUAUAGCCGAUACACAUGAAUCUAUUUUCUCCAUUUUAAAUCUAACGUACUUUCAGUUUUUAAGACUUU